UAAUUUAAUAAAUUUUAUUGUAACAAUGGCUGAUAGCAUUAUUUAAACUUCAGCUUUACAUCCUUAUAUUUAGAUUUCUGUGUAGACUACAUCAUGUUCUAUGUAAUGUUCUGUGUAAAGUCAAUAUAGAUUACGGCAUUUGCUUAAUUUCCAUGUACCAGCUGCAGACUCCUAUGUUGAUGUUCAUAACAAACCCCUUUCAUUCACACCUGAGUCUAUGGUAAUGAGGUGACUUUUGGAAAGCCCCUAAGUCACUAAGGAUGGGGGCUAGUUGCCAGGGGAACUAACUAUGUGAUGAGAGGAUUGGAACUUGCAGCCCCAUCCCCCAGUUUCCAGGGAUGGGAGAAGGGCUGGAGAUAGAGCUCAAUCACCAGUGGCCAGUGAUUUCAUCAAUCAUGCCUAUGUAAUGAAGCCUCCAUAAAAACCCAAAGGAAUGGGGAGUAGAGAGCUUCCGGUUGGUGAACACACAGAGAUUGGGGAGGGUGGCGAGCACGGAGAGGGCAUGGAAGCUCGUGCCCUUUCCUCCUACCUUGCCUCAUGCAUCUCUUCCAUCUGACUGUUCCUGACUUAUAUACUUUUAUAAUAAACCAGCAAACCAGUAAGUAAAAUCUUUCUCUGAGUUCUGCGAGCCUCCCUAGCAAAUUAAUAGAAUCUGAGGAGGAGGUAUGGGAACCUACGAUCAAUAGCCACGGAGUCAGAAGCACAGGCGACAACCUGGACUUGUGACUGGCAUCUGAAGUGGGGAGUCAGGGCAGUCUUGCAGGACUGAGCUCUUAACUUGUGGGAUCUGAUGGUCUCUCGAAGUAGCUAGUGUCAGAAUUGAGUUGAAUUGUAAGACACUCAACUAGUGUUGUAGAAUGGCUCAGUGGUCUGGGAAAAACAGCCACACGUCAGAAUUGGUGUCCGAAUCAUAGUGCUGAAAGUAUCAUCCUUAAAUGGAUAAUAACUUUAGUGUAGUUAUGGGGCAUAACAUCUCAUAUCCCAUCCUUUAAGGAAGAUGAAGGAGAAAAGUGUGGUGUCUUUUAGCCAAAAAAAAGAAAUUAUGGUUAAAAUACAUUGUGGUUUACUUCUUUAGAAAUUGUUUUUUAUUGCCUUAGGGAAAAACCUGAACUAAACACACCACAGGAAGGGCUACAUAGAAAGGGAGUAUUCAACUAUGUACUUGCCAAAAAUAUUCAUGGGAAAAUGAGGGGAUUUCACAAAUUAUCGUGAAAAAUACUGAAUUUCCUCUCCUCACCCACCUCCAUCCACUAAGUAGUCAAAUAAAGAAGAAAUCCUGACUCUGCUACUCCUUAUCCACCAUUCCAAAAUCCUCAAAACGCGGUGAGCUAAAAGUACUUUGUGUCACUCAUUUGGCAGCAAAACCUGUUUAGAACUAAUGUCAGGCCACUCGUGAUUCUCACUUAUCCUACUUAGCAAGAAGACUCAUGUGUUUCACGGCAGGAAACAGACACAUUCAUAUGUUUGAUUACAGGGGCUGCCCUGUUUCUUCUGGGGUCUUACAUAAUGCAUGGACUAUGCACUGUAUUGUCUUCCUAACGUCUAAAAUAUUCUGAAUUCCGAAGAGCAUCUAGCCCCAAGAGUUUCAGAUGACAGAUUGCGAACCCGUGAAAGAAGGACUUGAAUUCCCCUUUCAGGCUUAAGCCAAUGUUUUCAAACUCUGCCUCCAACCCACAGGAAAAACAGUGCAUUACAUUAUAACUCAGAACAUAUAUACACACAUAACCGAAACCAAAGUUUUACAAAGCAAUUAUUAUCCUUACUUUGUGCAUCUAAUAAUUUAUACUCUAUUUUCUUCCAUGUAAAACAGUACUGGUCAUGACCCACUAAAGUACAGGUUGUAAUUUUUUUGUGCCAGUAUGAUGCAACUAUGGACCCCUUUUCAAAAUAAUGCUUAUGAAUGCAUACAAAGAAAAUACAUAAGAUUCCAAAGGAAAAAUAUUACACUGAAAUUCAGCUAUGAAAAUAUUUUUAAAUGAUUUUUUAAAUAAUUUUAAAUAAUAGCAAAAUAUGUGCUUCUUUUUUAGUUCACAUGUAUGGCCAUGAUUGCAAAUUAGUGAGAAGCGUAAUUGUUACUUUGCAAGAUCUGCACAAACUAAUGGAAGAUGAGAACAUCUAUGAUUUCUACUGGUCACAAAGUGGGUAUCACUAAUACUACUGUGGGUGGUCACCUUCAUUUAUAAUUGAAGGAAAUGUUAAAUAUUAAUUAGAAGCUAGUGAAAAUAAAGGUAUAAAUUUUUCCCAUUGAAAUUUAAAGACCUCUGAAUUCUAUCCACAAACCCUAUGGACUCCAGGGUUAAAAUCCUGUGCAAUAAACUGGUAAUACAACCCAUGGAUUAUAAAACAAGGAAAACCCUAAUCUCUGCCUGGGAAAAUAGCAUCCCCUGGCUCAGCCCAGACUGCAUCUGGCUUUGGAUGCUUGGAGACCCCUAACUCCCUGUUUACCCCUACAGGAUUUGGGGCCCCACAUGCUUCUGCCCUGGCUGGACUCAGGCUUACAGAAAGCACAAAACAGAGGCCCAGAGUGGAUGGCCUGUGGCUAGAAAAGGCAAAAACCAGGCUAGUCAUUGGAAAGAACCAGAUGAAGACAGAUCAGACAACAGAGGGUUAAUCUGUUGCCAGCUGCCAGUUGCCAACUAAGGUCCCCUCAACCAUAAACUCAGUGCCCCUACUGAAAUCUUGGUUCACCUUAGGUUCUGUUUUCUAGAUGUGUGCUUUAUUUUGUUUUGUUUGAUGAUCACCGCAUUUCAAAUUUGUAUUUACUCCUUGAGGCAUAGCAUCUACAAGAACUCGUCAUUGUACCCCAAAUGAACAGCACUGAGAUGGGCAAUGGGCCAAUAGGCAAGCUGUCUGCUUUCUCAAGCUCUACCAAUGCCAGACUGUUCUGUUCACGGAGGAGGGCAAGCCUUUUGCUAGCUGACAGCGAAGCUAGAGGGAAGAGCCUGCCCAUCUUUCCAUAUUUUCUCUGGGCUGGCUCUGGACUCCUGUAAACUCAGAAAAAUGUAGUUUGUAUCUGAGAAGCUGCUAAGAUGAGUGGGCUUUGGAGACCUUUGGCUGGAGACAAGCAGAUACUCUCACCAAGAGGUAAGCACUAGUAACCACACAACAACAAAAAGAUAAUAAAAGCAGUUAUUGAUUGAUGAUUGAUGCCACAGUGCACCAGGAACACGGCUUGUGCAAGAAAGAGUUUUAUCAACUCUUUCCCACUAGCCUGUAAGCUCCGCCAGGACAGGGAAGGUUCACAUAUGCUAGCACCUAGGUGCAGCAGACAGACCGUGUCCGACACCCUCAGCAUCACCAUUCCCACACAGUCCAACGGGUUUGACUACAAGGCAGGUUAGAAGUCCCAGCGUCCGCACCCCUCCCCCAUCCCAGCAGCCAGCAAUGGUGGAUGGGAGCUGGCAGGUAAAUGCCUCAGGUGGGAUAACUCUGCUGUGGGUCCCAGAGGUUCCAGCGGGGUGAGCGCCAGGUGCCCACAGUGGUCACCUGCUCACUAAUGCACUUGUACUGGCUGCCUUGCCUUCCUAUCUCACUUCCCCACUCCCCUGCCAGUGCUCUCUAGAACCAUCUCCUAAAUAAAUUACUUGCACUUGUGUACCUGCAUAGGAUCUGCUGCUCAGGGAACCCAACCUAAAACUCUACGUUCCAGGACAGUAGCAGGAACACAGAAUUCUAUGACUGGCUAGCUAUGUGGCUACACUGGGGUUCCAUAUUCCAGCCCUCAAUGCAGUUCUCAGCAGUGUUAAUCCCAGGAUUAUCUCCCUCUGGAUGCUUACCCAGGAGACCUUGAGGAGCAACUACCCUAGGUGACACGUUUCCUGGCUGGGAGGUACCAAGCAGAUCACAGGUCUACACAAUGCUCUGGAUCAGCAUCAAACCCUUCCUGCAUUAGUGGCAUGGCAGCCAGCCACAGGGCACUUUACUGGGCGUUGGUGCACAGGAAAAGUUGCUCCGCAGGAGGAGCUGAGGCUCUGAGAGGCCAAGAGCACAGUGUCUGACACCCAAAGACAAGCUCUCCUGCCAAUCCUGGCAGCCCCUGGGAGUGCAGCCUUUACCAGUUUCUCCACCACAGAUGGGGAUCUCAGCACCUUCUUCACAGUGAUGCAUCCCCCAUCCCACCACUGCCAGAAAUCUCCUGAGCCCCUCCAAGGACACACUACAAGGAAUGAAUUGUGGAAGGACAAGUUAAUCAACCCCAACUGAGACAAAGGGGCGCCUCUGAAUGGCAGGGCGGUAGUUGCCAUACAAGUUGUGUUUGUUCCAGAAAUGAGCCCAAGUGGCCUCUGCGGAUUGGCCCCAGGUGGUUUAGUUCUUCACUGCAGGCUGAGACCUGUCAGCUUAAAUGCCCCCAAUGUCAAACUCAAAUUUUUACACAUCCAGUUAUUUAAAAAACAGCCAAAACAAGCACUUUUUUUUUCUUUUUUUGCCAUUUACAGGCUGCCUGCUUUGCAUACCAAACCUCCCCCAAGAGCGGUUACCCAUUGAUAAGAUGAGGCCGGACCCUCUGCUGCCCCUCAGAGCUCUCUGACCCACAGACUCCUCACCAUGCAGCUGAGUGCAUCACCUAGACACAUAAGCCCCCUCCCUGCCAGGAGGUCCCUUGCCCUCCUCCCCUUCUGGAUGGUGGUCCCCAAGCUGCCAUAAGCCUCCCUUUGGACAGUCCCAUGCUGUGAGGGGCUUCCCUCAUCAUGCAACCGUGUCCAAGUGCUGCCCAAUAAAGCUUGUGUGUUACUGCCUUUCAUGGUCAUAUCUUUUUCCUUGAUCAGCUCAAAAUUACUCAAACCCCUACAGAAUUUCAUGGACCAGCAGGAUCACCAGGGAGCUUGCUAGAAAUGGAGCAUCUUGGGCCCUACUCCCAGACCUACUGAGCCAGACUCUGCAUGUUAACAAGAUCACCACAUUUGCCCACUUUGCCGCUGAUGAUUCGUGUGCACAUUGCAGUUGGAGAAGGGCUGGGCUCAGAGACUUUCCUUGGGGAUCAGUGUAGUAGCUGAGCUCAAUGCACAAAGGGAUUUGUGUGAUGAAGACGUCAGCCCCUGUGAGAGUCCACUAAUCCAUAGCACUGACCCUUCCUUGCUUUUCUCAGUCUCUUAAGCAGGCAGGUGUGAAACUGCAGACUUCCUUUACAAAUCGAAACCCUUACGCUAUGGGUCCUGUACACAUAUGAAACCGCAUGUACAUGCCCCUGAAGUGGGCGUGCAGAUAUAUGACCAGAUGCUGGCCCCCUACCCCGCCCCACGCAGGCAUGCUCCACUCCACCCACACAGGCAUCAGCAACACAUCCAGAGCCUCCUGAGCUUCUAUUCUGGGGAAUGGGGGCCAAGUGCCAGGUCCCAAAAAGGUACCCCAAAAGAAAUCAUUCAGAUUCCACCAAAUCAAAUAAAAUGAUCUCUUACAAAACACAGUAGGGGGCAGGUGCUGAGAAGCACAGACAGGAGGAGCCAGGAACAAAGGAACCCCUGCCACACAAAGGCACAUCGAUCCAGUGAGUGAUUCUGAAUGAGGCUUGCAUCCUCCCAUGUGUCAAGGCUUGAGCCCCAGGGCACCAUACAGGAGGGAACAUCCUAAUUAUUACCCGGAAAAGCCUGGGUAAGACAAGGGCAAUUUGCUUGUGCUUAAUAUAUCUGCAUUUGGGAAUUUAUACGUGCUUACAAACUCUCUAAGCCUACCCAGCAAUCGCUCCUAUUUAGGAUCUGGAAGUGGAUAAAAAGUGCUUUCCAAACAAAAGAUGUCAUGCCAUGAACUUUACUGAUUUUUAGGAAAGAAGCUCUGGUCCCUCGGCAGGACUCAUUUACUCUUGUGGUAUAUACAAUUUUAAACAUCUGUGAGAUUUGAUUUCUCAGUCUAUAAACAAUGGUAAGCAACAACUUAGAAAUAACCCAGAGAAGGUUAGGUGAGGUUGUGGUAAGGAACUAGUAAAAAGCAGCAAGUAUAGCACCAGUCAUUCCAAGAAGCACAGAAGUGCCUACGAACUGCUGACCAGACGAAAACAAAGAGAGAUUAGAGGCUAUUCAAAGUACCAUAUAAACUCAAAAGCAUCUACGGUAGGGACCUUGGGGACUGAUACUACACAAUCCAAUAUUUUAACAAUGAAUUCCUGGUCAUCAAUAAUCAUAAGCACAAUUACAUUGAAUUAUAUUUAAUAUUUUCAGGUAAGAAAGACACUGUUACAUUUUAUAAAUACUUCCACAAUCAAACAGGUUUUUUUAAAUGUUUAAAGUCUUGACACUUAGAGUUUAGUUUCAAUUCAGUAGAAAAUAUAUUAAAAUGGAAUAGCCCACCCUUCCACAAGAAUAAGUAAGUGUGGCACUGCUUUACUAAACCUAUUAAAUUCUGAUUUGCCUGGCAUUGAAGCAUCCAGUCCACAGCUUCAGUCUAUCAGUUCAGCGGAAGUCAACUGGGCAUCUGCUAUGUGCCAAGCACUGUAUUAGGUGCUAAAAACACAAAGAUGAAAAAGAAGCAGGUCCUUCUCUCAAGGCCAGUUGAACUUAGGAAUUCUCAAAUGCCAUCUGAAUGAUGGAGGGGGAAGGGCAGAUUCUCUUCAGCACAGUUUGAGUAGCAGGGGCAUUUUAUGAAAGCUGGAUUCCUUGGGAAAUUAUUUAAUGAUUUGUGUGUGACACAGACGGGGAUUUCCUAAUAUCCUGCACAUUUGAAUAGUUGUAUUCACCUGAGGAUCCCCAGCCCCAAAGAAGGCAUCCUUAAAGCCAUCAGAAUCUCUCCCCGUUUCUUAACCAUAAGGAAUAAACAGAAUCUCAAACUGUCUUUAAUGACUUCCUCCAGACAAGAAAGAGGAACAAAUGAAUUGAAGAGUUCACUCACCCUACAUUUGCCCAAUGUAAAUUGUUGUUAGACUUGGAGAAAUUGCAGAAAUGUGGACUCCUCUCAUUUCUACCCCUGCCGGGAUGCAGAGAACCAAGAGAAUGUGGACCCCCCGAGCCUGCCCAGGUGUAUCCUGCCUGAUCCCCUUUCAGGGGCUGGCACAGACUGAGAAGAAGAUUCCUCUAUACGCCAGAGGGAGCAGAUUAGGGACCUUUGCCUCCCUGGAUCCUUGUGGGUGUCCCUACAAGCAAAGGUGAGUGAUGGAUGGAAGCAGGUCUGCAUGAGUUUUUCGCUCUCUGUGACCUGCGCGCACGCGCGUACACACACACACACACACACACACACACACAGACAAAACACACCUAUUGCAUUCUAGCCAAACAAAACUUAGACUCACGGUGGUAGAUCCUACAGCUGAGAAGUGACUGAGAGAACAUGGAGAAACUGAGGCCCACAGAAGAAAAGGCCAUUCUCCAAUCCAUGGCUCUCUAGGUAACUACUUGAGAUUUUUAGCUGCUUUUUCAUUGGGAAAUUUGCAUCAAAAUUAUAUAGAUUUUUUCCAAGCUGACUUUCUUACCUCUGUCCCUAUCAAGGUUCCUCUUUUGGCAAAGGGAGGGAGGAAGGGAAAGAUGAAGAAAGAAAGGAAAGGAGGGAGGGAGUGAGGGAGGGAAAGAGGGAGAGGAAAGGAAUGAAGUGAAGGAGGAAAGGAGAGAGGGAAGAAAAAAGAGCCGCUGAAGUUGAUAUGAUUCAGUUUACUGCCUUUAGUCUCUGAAAAAUAUUACAGAAGGAGGCAGUGUCAUGUCAGCCUAGAGAAUAGGCUGAGACCCUAGCAGGGCCCCUUCCACAUCCUUCCUGAGG